UUCAAAAAAAUUUUCCCAGCCCGAAGUAGUGGAUGUGUGAAUUGUUCGUAAGGGGAUUUUUCCGCAUUCUCUAUUUCAUUUGUUUGUUUUCGUACGAGUGGUCGUCCAAACCAGUACCUGUGGAUCUUUUGAUCACUGAGUGUGUUUCAAAGAUCUACAUCUUUUGUUUUUUCAUAAAGAUUAUCUUACUUACUCUAAAGUAAUUAGGGAAUUAAAACUUGAGAAUGGCAUGGUCAGGUUGGGCGUAGAUUUACGUUCCUGCUAUGUCUAGGUCUCGAAUGUUGUUUUUUGAUUGGAAUGUGUCUGAAGAUAUUCAACCUCUCAUCUUCACCGAUGAGCCCAUAGAGGUUGAAGAGGGCGAAACACAUUUCUAAGAGCUAGUGUUUGGAUCUUCGAUUCUAUUCAAAAAAUUUUUCCCAGCCCGAAGUAGUGGAUGUGUGAAUUGUUCGUAAGGGGAUUUUUCCGCAUUCUCUAUUUCAUGUGUUUGUUUUCGUACGAGUGGUCGUCCAAACCAGUACCUGUGGAUCUUUUGAUCACUGAGUGUGUUUCAAAGAUCUACAUCUUUUGUUUUUUCAUAAACAUUAUCUUACUUACUCUAAAGUAAUUAGGGAAUUAAAACUUGAGAAUGGCAUUGUCAGGUUGGGCGUAGAUUUACGUUCUUGCUAUGUCUAGGUCUCGAAUGUUGUUUUUUGAUUGGAAUGUGUCUGAAGAUAUUCAAACUCUCAUCUUCACCGAUGAGCCCAUAGAGGUUGAAGAGGGCGAGACACAGUUCUAAGAGCUGGUGUUUGGAUCUUCGAUUCUAUUCAAAAAAUUUUUCCCAGCCCGAAGUAGUGGAUGUGUGAAUUGUUCGUAAGGGGAUUUUUCCGCAUUCUCUAUUUCAUUUGUUUGUUUUCGUACGAGUGGUCGUCCAAACCAGUACCUGUGGAUCUUUUGAUCACUGAGUGUGUUUCAAAGAUCUACAUCUUUUGUUUUUUCAUAAACAUUAUCUUACUUACUCUAAAGUAAUUAGGGAAUUAAAUCUUGAGAAUGGCAUUGUCAGGUUGGGCGUAGAUUUACGUUCCUGCUAUGUCUAGGUCUCGAAUGUUGUUUUUUGAUUGGAAUGUGUCUGAAGAUAUUCAACUUCUCAUCUUCACCGAUGAGCCCAUAGAGGUUGAAGAGUGCGAAACACAUUUCUAAGAGCUGGUGUUUGGAUCUUCGAUUCUAUUCAAAAAAAUUUUCCCAGCCCGAAGUAGUGGAUGUGUGAAUUGUUCGUAAGGGGAUUUUUCCGCAUUCUCUAUUUCAUUUGUUUGUUUUCGUACGAGUGGUCGUCCAAACCAGUACCUGUGGAUCUUUUGAUCACUGAGUGUGUUUCAAAGAUCUACAUCUUUUGUUUUUUCAUAAACAUUAUCUUACUUAUUCUAAAGUAAUUAGGGAAUUAAAACUUGAGAAUGGCAUUGUCAGGUUGGGCGUAGAUUUACGUUCCUGCUAUGUCUAGGUCUCGAAUGUUGUUUUUUGAUUGGAAUGUGUCUGAAGAUAUUCAACCUCUCAUCUUCACCGAUGAGCCCAUAGAGGUUGAAGAGGGCGAAACACAUUUCUAAGAGCUGGUGUUUGGAUCUUCGAUUCUAUUCAAAAAAUAUUUCCCAGCCCGAAGUAGUGGAUGUGUGAAUUGUUCGUAAGGGGAUUUUUCCGCAUUCUCUAUUUCAUUUGUUUGUUUUCGUACGAGUGGUCGUCCAAACCAGUACCUGUGGAUCUUUUGAUCACUGAGUGUGUUUCAAAGAUCUACAUCUUUUGUUUUUUCAUAAACAUUAUCUUACUUACUCUAAAGUAAUUAGGGAAUUAAAACUUGAGAAUGGCAUUGUCAGGUUGGGCGUAGAUUUACGUUCCUGCUAUGUCUAGGCCUCGAAUGUUGUUUUUUGAUUGGAAUGUGUCUGAAGAUAUUCAACCUCUCAUCUUCACCGAUGAGCCCAUAGAGGUUGAAGAGGGCGAAACACAUUUCUAAGAGCUGGUGUUUGGAUCUUCGAUUCUAUUCAAAAAAUAUUUCCCAGCCCGAAGUAGUGGAUGUGUGAAUUGUUCGUAAGGGGAUUUUUCCGCAUUCUCUAUUUCAUUUGUUUGUUUUCGUACGAGUGGUCGUCCAAACCAGUACCUGUGGAUCUUUUGAUCACUGAGUGUGUUUCAAAGAUUUACAUCUUUUAUUUUUUCAUAAACAUUAUCUUACUUACUCUAAAGUAAUUAGGGAAUUAAAACUUGAGAAUGGCAUUGUCAGGUUGGGCGUAGAUUUACGUUCCUGCUAUGUCUAGGUCUCGAAUGUUGUUUUUUGAUUGGAAUGUGUCUGAAGAUAUUCAACCUCUCAUCUUCACCGAUGAGCCCAUAGAGGUUGAAGAGGGCGAAACACAUUUCUAAGAGCUGGUGUUUGGAUCUUCGAUUCUAUUCAAAAAAAUUUUCCCAGCCCGAAGUAGUGGAUGUGUGAAUUGCUCGUAAGGGGAUUUUUCCGCAUUCUCUAUUUCAUUUGUUUGUUUUCGUACGAGUGGUCGUCCAAACCAGUACCUGUGGAUCUUUUGAUCACUGAGUGUGUUUCAAAGAUCUACAUCUUUUGUUUUUUCAUAAACAUUAUCUUACUUACUCUAAAGUAAUUAGGGAAUUAAAACUUGAGAAUGGCAUUGUCAGGUUGGGCGUAGAUUUACGUUCCUGCUAUGUCUAGGUCUCGAAUGUUGUUUUUUGAUUGGAAUGUGUCUGAAGAUAUUCAACCUCUUAUCUUCACCGAUGA